rnacentral:lncRNA from 1 species
CCUCAUAUGGAUAUUAUUGUUCUUUCUCUCAAUUAAAUAAAGAAAUUAAUUCAAACUCAACAUCCUCAAGAAUUAAAGCAUAAAGUGCCAUAAAGAAUUAACUGAAAAUAGAAAUUCUAUUCGGUAUGAUUGAAAGACUCAAUUAUGAUGGUUGUGACUCUUGUUACUUGUUAUAUUUUUGGAGCUUCAUAAGAUAGAUAUCAAGUUAGUGUUUCUUAAUGGAGACAUUAAGAAAUACAAUAUGAUGCAACGAGAGAAAAUUUUGUGUCAAUAGAUAUAAAGUUUAUAGUUUUCGAACAGAUAAAAAAUUAUUUAUGAGUUAAUGAGUUGUCUCAUUAGUGAUACCACAAUAUUUCAUAAGGUAAUUGUGUCAUUUGAUUUUGAGAUGAAUAUUAUGAUAAUAAUUGUCUUAUUUAGUUUUAAGAUGAGUAUUCUAAAAUUAGUUUUAUCAUUCGAUUUUGAGAUAAAUAAGAGGAAAAAAAUUGUGGGUAUUAUAAAGUCGGUGGGAGUAAGUUUAUGUUUCUUAUAUAACAUGUCAAUUUUAUUGUAUUAAGUGAAAAAUAGUAUAGUUUAUUAUGUGAAACAAAGAAAUUUCUAAUGAAAAUUUAGCGAUGAAAGAUCUUGAAAAAAUCUCUUUUGUAUUAAGCUAUUUUGGUAAUUAGAGAUUAUUCUCAAGGUACCAUUCAGAUAUCACAAAAGAGUUUCAUCAAUAAGGUUGAAAGCAAAUUCAACAUAAAAUACAAUAAUAUUGGGAUAUUUCAAUUACUAAUUUAAACUAUUGGGUCUCAAUAUAACUACCUUAAAGUAAACAGGGAAAAUUGAAAAUUUGAGUAUUU